GAUGAACGCUGGCGGCGUGCCUAAUACAUGCAAGUCGAGCGAACGGACGAGAAGCUUGCUUCUCUGAUUUUAUCGGCGGACGGGUGAGUAACUCGUGGAUAACCUACCUUUAUUACUGUUAUAACUUCGUGAAACCGUAUCUAAUACCGGUUAAUAUUUUUUACCUCAUGGUUCAAUAGUGUAAUACGGUCUUUCUGUCCCUUAUAGAUUUAUCCUCGCUGCAUUAGCUAGUUGGUAAGGUAACGGCUUACCAAGGCAACGAUGCAUAGCCGACCUGAGAGGGUGAUCGGCGAAACGGGAAGUGAGACACGGUACAGACUCCUACGGGAGGAAGCAGUAGGGAAAAGUACGCAAUGGGCGAAAGCAUGACGGAGCAAAGCCGCGUGAGUGAUGAAGGUAUUAGGAUCGUAAAACUAUGUUAUUAGGGAAGAACAUAUGUGUAAGUAAAUGUGCAGAUCGUGACGGUAACUAAUAAGAAAGCAACGGCUAACUACGUG
rnacentral:rRNA from 1 species